AGAAAGGACUUCUGUCAUGACUGGCACACAUAGGGCAACUUGAUUGCUCUAUGUGCAGAAUCAACAUCAAAGAGAUUUCAGAAGUGUGAUUUUUUGGUACCCAGACAGCUAGUGAUCAUUGGCCCUGGCACAUGA